GUUGAGAAGAGUAAACUGCUGUGUCAACUGGCUGGAUCGAGGGCGGGAGCAGGCCUGUUCAACACUGCUUACAGCUUCAGUUGAGGAGGAUUCAGAAGCUGUAUUCAUUCUCAGAUUCUUCUGUGUUGGAGGUAGACGUGUCUAUAAUUGUGACAUUUGUGCACAUUAUUUAUCUGUGGACGUUUUUCUUGUUUGAAGUCACAGACGAGAGCAGCAGCUACUAUGAGUGUAACUGCAGCAGCGAGUGGAUUUGUUUUCCUUCUUCUCAUUGUGACAGUGGUACAGUGUGAGAAGCUGGGAUGUGAGUUACACUUCUACUGAGAUCUGUGCCGUCAGAAGAUCCACAGUGGACAUUACCUGUACCUACACAUACCCAUCCACAUUUAAUAACCAUGAUACAACAGUUCAGGAAACGUUCUGGUUCAUUAAAGAGAGUAAUGGGAUUCACGUUGAUCUAAGGACUGAUCCAGAGUAUUCAGGUCGUAUGGAGUAUCUCUGUGAAAUCAACACGUGCACUCUGAGAAUCUCUAACCUGACAGAGAGCGACUCAGCUGUGUACAAGUUCAUGUUCACAACAAACCAACCUACUGGGAGUUUUACUGGUUCAGCUGGAGUCACUCUGUCUGUCACAGAUUUGCAUGUGCAGCUGAGCACAUCAGCAAAGUAUAACUCCUAUAACGAUGCAGAGCUCAGGUGUCAGAGCAGUUGUCAUCUUCCUGAUCAUCUGAACUACGUCUGGUACAAGAAUCAACAGAAGGAGAUUGAAAGAGCAUCUUAUUCAGGCUAUUUUCAUUCUGCAGACAGAGUUUUCUGUGCUGUUAAAGGACACGAGGAUAUCCGCUCUCCAUCAAUCUUGGUAAGGGGUCUGAAUCGCUGGGGUGUGAGUUACACUUCUACUGAGAUCUGUGCUGUCAGAGGAUCAACAGUGGACAUUAGCUGUACCUACACAUACCCAUCCUGGUGGAAGAACCUUGAUAGUACAGUUCAAGAAACGAUCUGGUUAAUUAAAGAGAGUAAGAGGAUUUACGUUGAUCUAAGGACUGAUCCGGAGUAUUCAGGUCGUGUGGAGAAUCUCUGUGAAAUGAAGAAGUGCACUCUGAGAUUCUCUAACCUGAGAGAGAGCGACUCAGCUGUUUACAAGUUCAGGUUCAUAACAAACCUACCUGGAGGGAGUUUAACUGGUUCAGCUGGAGUCACUCUGUCUGUCACAGACCCUCAGCUCAAGGUACAUGUGAGGAGAUCAACAGCCAAUCCAUAUUUUACCUGGACAGAGCUGACCUGUAACAGCAGGUGUCGGCUCCCUGAUCAUCUUUCCUACAUUUAGUACAAUAACAAUAAACCUGUUGGACGGAAAAAAUACUUUCACCUCCGACACUUUGAUGCUGAAGACAGCUAUCACUGUGCUAUAGAGGGACCGGAGCGUUUCCCGUCUCCUACAUUCGACUAUCCCUCAGAUGCUCCAAAGCCUCCCUCUGUGUCAGUGAGUCUCUCUGGUGAGAUCAUGGAGGGCAGCUCGGUGACUCUGACCUGCAGCAGUGAUGCUAACCCAGCAGCUAAAUACACCUGGUACAAGAGAAGUGGAGAUAAACAAGUUCAACGUCUCAGUGAAGAGACACAAUUUGUCCUCAGCUCCAUCCGGUCCUUAGUCUCUGGAGAGUAUUACUGCACAGCUGAGAAUGAGCUGGGAAGGAGUUCAGCAAACAUCUUUAUUACUGUGACACGGAAGUCAGUGAAAAUCAUAAAUACCAUUAGGUACUCUCUGGUGGUCGUGCUGGUUCCAGUGCUUGUCUGGACUCUGUGGACGAGGAUGAAGAAAACUCUGAGCUUGAAAUCAGAAGUGAAUGAAGCUGUGGAGAUGAUAGAGUCACACAACUGUCCUGAGCAUGACAACGUCGCUUCUGCAGCACAGACAGAAGACACAGAGGAGCAGGAAGACCUGGUGUGAAGCCACAGGUGCACUGUGAUUGUUUGAAAGUAUUUAGGAGGGAACAGGAAGUCUCUCUCUUUCCGUCCCCGGUUGCAGCAGCAGCAGUUUGUACAGCAUGACCUUUAGAGCAAGAGUAUUAUGGUGUGUCUUUUCUGAUGGGUCCAGUCGUCCAGUUUUCGCAGCUUUAUUUCUGUGAGCUUUAGUUCUGAUGUUGAUUUAGAUGGAAGGAGGAUUCUCAGAUCCUACGACCCUUUGUGGGUUGGUGUGUUGGCUUUUCCUUCUUUUGUCCAUUUUGCCGCUUGUUGUUGAAGUUGUUGUCUUUUCUGCAAUAAAUAUAUUUUCUUUUUGCUGUUACCCUCUGAACUAUGUUGGACAUCUUGGUGUUGAGCCUGUGAGGCUGUGGUAACACCAUGUGACUCGUGUCUUAUGCAUGAUAUUAAUGUGGAUAUUACAUGCAUAAUGAA